rnacentral:rRNA from 3 species
GGCGUUAAGUUGCAGGGUAUAGACCCGAAACCCGGUGAUCUAGCCAUGGGCAGGUUGAAGGUUGGGUAACACUAACUGGAGGACCGAACCGACUAAUGUUGAAAAAUUAGCGGAUGACCUGUGGCUGGGGGUGAAAGGCCAAUCAAACCGGGAGAUAGCUGGUUCUCCCCGAAAGCUAUUUAGGUAGCGCCUCGUGAAUUCAUCUCCGGGGGUAGAGCACUGUUUCGGCUAGGGGGCCAUCCCGGCUUACCAACCCGAUGCAAACUGCGAAUACCGGAGAAUGUUAUCACGGGAGACACACGGCGGGUGCUAACGUCCGUCGUGAAGAGGGAAACAACCCAGACCGCCAGCUAAGGUCCCAAAGUCAUGGUUAAGUGGGAAACGAUGUGGGAAGGCCCAGACAGCCAGGAUGUUGGCUUAGAAGCAGCCAUCAUUUAAAGAAAGCGUAAUAGCUCACUGGUCGAGUCGGCCUGCGCGGAAGAUGUAACGGGGCUAAACCAUGCACCGAAGCUGCGGCAGCGAACGUAUCACUUAAAGCGAUUCAGCGGGUUACGAUUGACGGAGCGAAGCGACGUCAAAGCGUAUACAAAGUCGAGUCGGUUUAAGGAUACGUU